UACGUAGGGCGCAAGCGUUGUCCGGAAUUAUUGGGCGUAAAGAGCUCGUAGGCGGUCUGUCGCGUCCGUUGUGAAAACUCGAGGCUCAACCUCGGGCUUGCAGUGGAUACGGGCAGACUAGAGUGCGGUAGGGGAGACUGGAAUUCCUGGUGUAGCGGUGGAAUGCGCAGUUAUCAGGAGGAACACCGAUGGCGAAGGCAGGUCUCUGGGCCGCAACUGACGCUGAGGAGCGAAAGCAUGGGGAGCGAACAGG
rnacentral:rRNA from 1 species